rnacentral:rRNA from 1 species
GUUAAGCGACUAAGCGUACACGGUGGAUGCCCUGGCAGUCAGAGGCGAUGAAGGGCGUGCUAAUCUGCGAUAAGCGCCGGUAAGGUGAUAUGAACCGUUAUAACCGGCGAUACCCGAAUGGGGAAACCCAGUGUGAUUCGUCACACUAUCAUUAACUGAAUCCAUAGGUUAAUGAGGCGAACCGGGGGAACUGAAACAUCUAAGUACCCCGAGGAAAAGAAAUCAACCGAGAUUCCCCCAGUAGCGGCGAGCGAACGGGGAGGAGCCCAGAGCCUGAAUCAGCAUGUGUGUUAGUGGAAGCGUCUGGAAAGGCGCGCGA